rnacentral:ncRNA from 1 species
ACUAAAUAUGUAAUUGCCUAUAUAAUGCCAAGAUAGGGUUGGCGAGUUUCUACCUGGGACCGUAAAUCUCAGACUAUAAGCAAAUU